rnacentral:piRNA from 1 species
UGGAGCACGAAGAGUUAAUGGAGCACACAU